GACGAACGCUGGCGGCGUGCUUAACACAUGCAAGUCGAACGGAAAGGCCCCGCUUUUGUGGGGUGCUCGAGUGGCGAACGGGUGAGUAACACGUGAGUAACCUGCCCUUGACUUUGGGAUAACUUCAGGAAACUGGGGCUAAUACCGGAUAGGAGCUCCUGCUGCAUGGUGGGGGUUGGAAAGUUUCGGCGGUUGGGGAUGGACUCGCGGCUUAUCAGCUUGUUGGUGGGGUAGUGGCUUACCAAGGCUUUGACGGGUAGCCGGCCUGAGAGGGUGACCGGCCACAUUGGGACUGAGAUACGGCCCAGACUCCUACGGGAGGCAGCAGUGGGGAAUAUUGCACAAUGGGCGGAAGCCUGAUGCAUCAACGCCGCGUGCGGGAUGACGGCCUUCGGGUUGUAAACCGCUUUCGCCUGUGACGAAGCGUGAGUGACGGUAAUGGGUAAAGAAGCACCGGCUAACUACGUG
rnacentral:rRNA from 1 species